rnacentral:tRNA from 1 species
GCAGUGGUGGCUCAGUGGUAGAAUUCUCACCUUCUCAGUGAGAGACCUGGGUUCGACUCCCAGUCAAUGUA